GGCAGGUUGCCCGAGCGGCCAAUGGGAGCGGACUGUAAAUCCGUCGGCUUACGCCUACACAGGUUCGAAUCCUGUACCUGCCACCC
rnacentral:tRNA from 3 species